rnacentral:rRNA from 1 species
AGUGAACGCUGGCGGUAGGCCUAACACAUGCAAGUCGAACGGCAGCACAGUAAGAGCUUGCUCUUACGGGUGGCGAGUGGCGGACGGGUGAGGAAUACAUCGGAAUCUACUUUUUCGUGGGGGAUAACGUAGGGAAACUUACGCUAAUACCGCAUACGACCUACGGGUGAAAGCAGGGGAUCUUCGGACCUUGCGCGAUUGAAUGAGCCGAUGUCGGAUUAGCUAGUUGGCGGGGUAAAGGCCCACCAAGGCGACGAUCCGUAGCUGGUCUGAGAGGAUGAGAACCCACACUGGAAGGGAGACACGGCCCGGACUCCUAGGGGGGGAAGCAGGGGGGAAUUGUGGAAAAGGGGGGAAACCCUGACCCACCAAUCCCGGGUGGGUAAAAAGGGCCUGGGGUUUGAAAGCCCCUUUUUUGGGAAAAAAAAAAAAGCGGGUAAAUCCCCCGCUGUUCGGAGGAACCCAAAAAAAAAAGCCCCGGCUAACUUCGUC